GUAAAAAUAUAAAUGGCAAGUUAAGUGUGAUUAUUCCACCGGAUCAAAGAGUUGCAUUAGGUCCUGGAGCUAACGAUUUUGUUACCGAGAUUUCUGUGAAAGUUUUUCAGCAUGCUAGGCAUGAUAUCAAGAAUUGGAAGAAUGUUUCUGAUCUAGCAAAAGAUAGAAUCAUUGCGCAUAUACUGGACACCUUCCAACUAUCCGACACACAACAUGUGCGGCAUACUAUCUUGGAUCAAGCUAAUAAACUAUAUCGAUAUCGUCGUAGUAGACUCCAUGAUCAUUUCAAGAAAUAUGCUACAAAAGAGGAGACCUUUUUGAACAUGCCAGCAGAGGUUAAUGAAGUUGAAUGAAAAUUCUUGGUGGAGUAUUUCAGCUCAGAUUCUUUUAAGAAAAUGAGUGAAAGAAAUAAAGCUAAUAAAGCAAAACAAGAAAUACCUCAUAUUUGUGGAAGUAAAUCCU